rnacentral:rRNA from 1 species
UACGUAGGGUGCAAGCGUUUGUCCGGAAUUAUUUGGGCGUAAAGAGCUCGGUAGGUGGUCUGUCGCGUCGGCUGUGAAAACUCGGGGCUCAACCCCGAGCCUGCAGUCGAUACGGGCAGACUAGAGUGCUGUAGGGGAGACUGGAAUUCCUGGUGUAGCGGUGAAAUGCGCAGAUAUCAGGAGGAACACCGGUGGCGAAGGCGGGUCUCGUGGGCAGUAACUGACGUGAGGAGCGAAAGCGUGGGGAGC